ACGUACGGCCAUACUAGUGGCACAUGCGCCUGAACCCAUUUCGAAUUCAGAAGCUAAGCGCCCUCAGGCUUGGUUAGUACUGAGGUGAGGGAUCACUCGGGAACCCCAAGUGCCGCACGUU
rfam:Galdieria sulphuraria unplaced genomic scaffold scaf_90, whole genome shotgun sequence.